UAUUUUCCAUCGCGAACAUCGUCGCGCUGUCCGUCGGCAGCAGAUUCGCGUUUUGGGACGAUAAAACCUGGUGUGUAAAUUGAGUCUGCUGCUUGUGAAGUGUGCGGGGAACGAAAACGGCGGGGAAUUACACUACACACAAGUGAGCCGCGUUGCCGGCAUGGCAUGCAAACGUGUGUGAGUUCAGUUGGUUUGUUUUGUUUCGCAAGAUUGCUGGAUGGUUGCCACGGAGUACAUAAUUUUUCGAGUGCCGCUGGCGAACAAGUUUUGCUAAAU